GCAGUCUGAUGCAAACAGGAAGAAAUGUGCCCACUAACUUUUUCCUGAUCAAGGAGUAUUUCCGUAUUCCUCUAUCUCAUCUGAGAUCAGUGCUCAGUGCAGCAGACAGCAUAAUCGUGAGGGAGAUUCUGCUGUUCUAUAACAGGAACUAUGACACUUUGCAGCUAACAGAUGAUUACCUGCACACCAUGGUGUCUGUGCUCUUCCAAAUACACCUGCCCAAGGAUAUAAGCCUGUUUUCUGACAUGGGUCUUUUGUUGGCUCUAGCUACACCUUCAGAAAUCUUGUCAAUGCCGCUACAAAAUAAUAUCAAUGCGUGAGUGACACACACAUAUAUAGCUGAGCU
rnacentral:lncRNA from 1 species